UACGUAGGGUGCGAGCGUUAAUCGGAAUUACUGGGCGUAAAGCGUGCGCAGGCGGUGAUGUAAGACCGAUGUGAAAUCCCCGGGCUUAACCUGGGAACUGCAUUGGUGACUGCAUCGCUCGAGUAUGGCAGAGGGGGGUAGAAUUCCACGUGUAGCAGUGAAAUGCGUAGAGAUGUGGAGGAAUACCGAUGGCGAAGGCAGCCCCCUGGGCCAGCACUGACGCUCAUGCACGAAAGCGUGGGGAGCAAACAGG
rnacentral:rRNA from 1 species